UGCAUCGGCCGGGAAUCGAACCCGGGCCGCCCGUGUGGCAGGCGAGCAUUCUACCAUUGAACCACCGAUGC
rnacentral:tRNA from 1 species